rnacentral:misc_RNA from 1 species
GCGCUUUUCUCUCUCCUCGCCCCUUUUUCGCAGAGUGAGAGAGAGAGGCAAUGGCGGCGACGGUGACGGCGGCGGCGGCGGCGAAGAAGUGGCUCCCGCUGGUGGCGCUGGGGGUUCUGGUGAUGCUCGCCGGAGGGAUGGGCUGGAUCAACGGCGGGGGGACUGCGGAUUCGAGCGGCGGCGGCGCCGGGAGGAGGAGAUUGCGCGGGACGGCGGCGGUAGUGGAUGAAGCUUCGUCCAUGGCAGAGAGGUUCGCUCAAUUGCCUGUGCUGGGUGCUGUCGACGAUCCGGAUCAGGUUGUCGCUGAUGUUCACGUCUCAAUUAGCAACAGCACAGCGCGGCGACAGCUGGGAUACCUCUCCUGCGGCACAGGGAACCCAAUAGACGACUGCUGGCGCUGCGACCCGGACUGGCUGGGAAACCGCAAGCGCCUCGCCGACUGUGGCAUCGGAUUCGGGCGCAACGCCGUUGGCGGCCGUGACGGGCGCUACUACGUCGUAACCGACCCCAGCGAUGAUGAUGCUGUUACCCCACGACCAGGAACCCUCCGCCAUGCCGUCAUCCAGGACGAACCUCUCUGGAUUGUGUUCAAGCGCGAUAUGGUUAUCACCCUCAAGCAGGAGCUGAUCAUGAACAGCUUCAAGACCAUCGACGGCCGCGGCGUCAAUGUCCACAUUGCUAACGGCGCCUGUAUCACCGUCCAAUUCGUCACUAACAUCAUCAUCCACGGACUUCACAUCCAUGACUGCAAGCCCACCGGGAAUGCCAUGGUACGGAGCUCGCCGUCGCAUUAUGGGUGGCGCACGAUAGCGGAUGGAGAUGGGGUUUCCAUUUUCGGAUCUAGCCAUAUCUGGGUCGACCACUGCUCGCUCUCCAGCUGCGCUGAUGGGCUCAUUGAUGCCAUCAUGGGCUCCUCCGCCAUCACCGUCUCCAACAACUACUUCACCCAUCACAAUGAGGUGAUGCUACUGGGCCACAGCGAUUCCUACGCGAGAGACAAAGCAAUGCAGGUGACCAUUGCCUUCAACCACUUUGGAGAGGGUCUGAUUCAGAGAAUGCCAAGGUGCAGGCAUGGCUACUUCCAUGUGGUGAACAACGACUACACCCACUGGGAGAUGUAUGCCAUCGGUGGCAGCGCAGAUCCCACCAUCAACAGCCAGGGCAACCGAUACCUCGCUCCAUCCAACCCCUUCGCCAAGGAAGUGACCAAGAGAGUUGACACCGACGGCAGCAUCUGGAAGGGCUGGAAUUGGCGGUCAGAGGGAGAUCUCCUACUGAACGGCGCCUACUUCACCCCGUCCGGCGCAGGCGCCUCAGCCAGCUACUCCCGCGCCUCUAGCCUCGGUGCUAAGUCCUCCUCCAUGGUCGGCUCCAUCACCUCCGGCGCUGGUGCCCUCGCCUGCCGCAGGGGCUCGGAGUGCUGAUCCCCACCCCCAAACACUACCACCACCAAAGUAAAAGGAAUAGGAAAGAACAAACAGCAGGCCUCCUAUUUGUGACAGUGUUUACCCUUUAUUUUUCUUUUCACCGUUUAUACCCGGCCAAUCGUUAUCAACCUCCUCCCUGCUUCCAACCCUUUGUCAGUGUCGUCGGUGAGGUAGCGUUGCUGAUUAUAUUUUGUUCUUGUCUUUGAUCCGACAGCCUACCGCCCUACUAAGUAUGGUUUGAAUGUUUACGGAUUGUAUCUACAUUGCAUAUUAUGAAUUGGUAAUUGGUAAUGCAGAACUGCUGUAACAGUCACA